rnacentral:rRNA from 1 species
AUGAUAGCUCAUGCAUGGAAUCUGUUAGAAGAAAACAGGAGUCUCGAGCUCCUUGAUCAAGCCGUGUGCGGCGGCUGCUCCCCGGCGGAGCUAGAGCAUGUUACGACAUGCAUCCAGGUAGGGCUAUUGUGCGUUCAGGAGAGCCCGAGCCAACGGCCGCAAAUGGCUGUCGUAAUCCCCAUGUUGUCGCACCAACAGGUGCCAGGGCGUCCACUUCGGCCAGUGGUCUGCACACCGGUGAGAACUCCGGCAGACCUUCUCAACGUGGUGAACACAUCCAGCAAUGAGUUGACCAUCACAAACCUCGAAGGCCGGUAG